ensembl:misc_RNA Metazoa_SRP Metazoan signal recognition particle RNA
GCCGGGUGUGGUGGCGCACACCUGUAAUCCCAGCUACUCGGGAGGCUGAAGCAGGAGAAUUGCUUGAACCCAGGAGGUAAAGGUUGCCGUGAGCAGAGAUUGCACCACUGCACUCCAGCCUGGGUGACAGAGUGAGACUCUGUCUCAA